AAAAUAAAAAAAUCUAUCAUGAUCUUUUUUAAAAAAGGAUCGUGGAAUUGGAUCUUUCAAAGGUGUUAUUCCUUUGAUGAUCUUAAAUUUUAUGUUUAUAUACGGCUGAUUAAAUCGAACUAAAAGAGCAAUUAUUUAUAAUCUCGAAUUUGGUGACGUUUAUAGGCCAAUAUGAUUUUUUUGGUAUUUUGAUAUAUCAAAAAGUCAUAAACAUUUUUUA
rnacentral:misc_RNA from 1 species